rnacentral:rRNA from 1 species
UACAGAGGUCUCAAGCGUUGUUCGGAUUCAUUGGGCGUAAAGGGCGCGUAGGCUGCGGGGCAAGUCGGGUGUGAAAUCUCAGAGCUCAACUCUGAAAUGGCACUUGAUACUGCUCUGCUAGAGGACUGGAGAGGAGAUUGGAAUUCACGGUGUAGCAGUGAAAUGCGUAGAUAUCGUGAGGAAGACCGGUGGCGAAGGCGGAUCUCUGGACAGUUCCUGACGCUGAGGCGCGAAGGCCAGGGGAGCAAACGGG